rnacentral:lncRNA from 1 species
AUUAGAUGCAACAAACACUGAGCACUGAUUCUAUACCAAGUAAUCUGCUUGGAAAACAGAUUUAACUCUUAUAUUGGUCCUUCCCAAUAAGUCUAAUUUUCCCCAUUUUGCCAGCAGGGGGUGAAGGAACAGUUUGACAUACUGAUCACAUACCUGAAAGUGGCCAAGGAAGGCCUUUGACCACAAAUGCUGGGGUCAUCCCACGAGAUACGGUUUGCCUUCUCAGCACACGACAGCACGUUUGGACGCAGCCUGAAAAGCCUCUUUGCAGUCAACAUCCACAGAAAAGAAAUAGAAGCAAUUGAUCUACAAGGACCUGCCUUUGAAACAUUGAUACAUUAA